rnacentral:rRNA from 1 species
CAGCAGUAGCCACGGGAAUACGAAGGGGGCUAGCGUUGUUCGGAAUUGCUGGGCGUAAAGCGCACGUAGGCGGAUAUUUAAGUCAGGGGUGAAAUCCCAGAGCUCAACUCUGGAACUGCCUUUGAUACUGGGUAUCUUGAGUAUAGAAGAGGUGAGUGGAAUUCCGAGUGUAGAGGUGAAAUUCGUAGAUAUUCGGAGGAACACCAGUGGCGAAGGCGGCUCACUGGUCCAUUACUGACGCUGAGGUGCGAAAGCGUGGGGAGCAAACAGGAUUAGAUACCCCGGUAGUCCCUGUCUCUUAUAU